ensembl:lncRNA
GUUUGCUUGUCCAUUGGUGGACAGGGACAGAGUGGAAAGAAAAACAUUGAGGAGAUGAUCAUAACAAUGUGUGCAAGGCAUCAGAUGGUAUUAUGCAACAUCUCAUGCAUUGUGCACUCAUAUAACUACUGUAUAACGAAAGCUUAUUUAACUAAUACUAGACCGAAAAGAGCAGUUUGCAUUUCAAAAAGUCCCCAACCUUCUCGAACAACUCGAGGUUCAAAGUUUCUGUUUUCAUCUGAGAUAGAGCUUUAUUGAUCAUUUGAGGAACACAGCUCUAUUUUGAGGAUGUACACAGUGACAUGGGUCAAAGGUGUGUGUUGUUCUGCUGAUGAGAGCUGUAAUUGGCUCUCUGAGCUACAGACAUCAUUUCUGGACAUUACACACGCUGAAAUUCACUCAACCAGGUCUCUCUCGGACAUCGUGAUGUUUAAUCUGAUCUGUUGCCCUCUGAGGAAGCAUCAUAAACUAAUGACUGAGAAUCACUUCAUCAAAACCCUUUGAAGUUUCUGCCUUCGCCAGUCCUUGUGAGAAGACAUCUCAGCCUUGUAUAAUUGCUCAUCUGACAAGCAUCUCAGGAGUGGAUAUUCCUGGAGACAAGGAGAGCUUGAAUUCGUGCACAUGCACACUCAACAUCUCCUGCCUGUUGCUUUUCUGCCUGCAUUCUCCACCAAGUAAAUGAACUCUAUCUAGGAGCCACUAGCUGCUGGGUAUGUGUCUUGCUGAUUUUUCUCACUUGGCAAUAUGCAGGUAUUCUGAAGGGCUUCGUAAACUAAACAAUACUGAGCCAGAGAAACCCCCGGAAGAACAGCCCUCAAUCUGCAGAGGUCACAGUCAGGACACAGUUUCAUUACAACACUGUAGGAAAAGUAAAGGUCCCAUUACAGCUCAUCCCAGUGAUCCAUGCUACAAUAUUUCACCAUGUUUUGGAGAAAAUGCCACCAGUUUUUAUAGUAUGUCAGUGCAGUGGAGGACUAAUUCACCCAAAAAAUUAAAAUUCAGUCAUGCCGUUCCAAACUAAUAAGACUUCUUUCUGCCGUGAAACACAAAAGGAUAAAUUCUUUAUCCUCAUACUGAUCUUUUGACAAAAAUGUACAUGCUUAUGUACAAUAAAAGCAGCCAAUACACUGUAAAAAUAUUUUAAGAUUAAUGAAGUAUGUUUAAUAUGUUACUGUUUAUGUGAUUAACUGUGAAAUCUACUGGAGUAAAAAUUGUCUGCACACCUUUUUUUUUGUAAUUUGCAAAUGUUCCUUAAUAAUUUGCAAGGUGAACCAAUUUAUUUAUUGGAGUGAUGUUUUGAUAUUUCUAUAUUACUGUUUAUUUACUCUGAUGUUUCAUAAAAUAUAAAUGUAUUUCAUAAUAGCUUUACAUAAUUGUUCAAUGGCUGAUAAGCCAUUUAAUAGCCUAUAAUACAUUUUAAAGGAACAAUUAUCCUAAAAUAAAACAUUAUAUCAUAAAUUACUGAUGUCAUUCCAAUCCUGCAUGAGUUUCUAAGACAGAAUUUUCUAUACGGUGAACCAGUCCUUUAAAUAAAAAUCUCUAUAUUUAAAAACUUCUACCUCUGCUUCAAACAGCAGGUGCCUUUUGUGACAAUAUACCCCAUAUGGCGUGACAAAUUUCUUCACAGUAAUUUACUAUGAACUGCAUAUUAAGUUACUUAAAUUUGAACUGUAGUCAUUUACAGAUGUGAUCUUUUUCAGUAGUUUUUGGGAUCAAUCUGGUGGGCAUUUUGUGUCUAAUUUGAAAAAUUUAACUUUUUUUUUCUUAUUUAGCAGAAUAAAUAAGGCUUUAUUAAUUAAAAACAAACAAACAAACAAAUAAAUAAACAGUUUUGCAUACAAAGCAGUCAUGUAAUAUAGUGUUACACAAAAUGUACUGAUAUUUAUUUGUUUGGAUAACCUGAGGGUGAGCAAAUUAUAACCUUAUUUCCAUGCCUGCUGAUGAUACCAGUCUGCAUGAUUCGAAAUCCAGACCCAUGACAUUUGUUUAUUCAAAUCACUCAAC